UGCAUGAAUGAAUGAAUGAAUGAAUGAAUGAGAGAGAGAUAAAUCCUCCAAGGUCACAUGGCAAACAAAGAAAGAGAUCAGAAAUGGAAAUACUGGGUACUCUAGCUUCUCAAACUAACCCUAUAACAGUAAUGUUAAAACAGUAAGCACAAUCUGGGCUUCCCAAACACACAUGACAGAAGGGGUCUCUUAGAGCUGAGCUACAUUCUACAUGACACUGACAGAUUAUAAACUCUCUGUCUGGAAUUAAGUAGGCUAAGCCCUGGUAAACAAAAAUCUGUUUGACGCUAACUGCUAAAUAAGGCCCAAGCUCACUAUUUCUUACCCAGUAACAUCUUUACAAUUUAAGUCAUUUGCAAAUUCUCCUAUGUCCUCAACACACCAGGACAUCAUAUGGCCUGGUCUACCAGUAGAUUCUACAUAUAAACUAUAUUCUGAACACAAACGGGUCACAAGUAACUCUUGGAAAAGCCAGAAAUAUCUCAAGAAUAUGCAUAUGAGUAUGAAAAUAACCUAAGUGAACAAAAACUUCUUUAUGCUUCAAAAAAAUUUAGUCAAAAAUAUUCUAGGGGUUGUGAAUGUGGCUUGGUGGUAGAGUACUUGCCUAGCAUGCAUGAAUCCCUGGGUUCGAUUCCUCAGUGCCACAUAAACAGAAAAACUACACACAGAAGUGGCACUGUGGCUCCAGAGGUAGAGCUAGCCUUAAGCAAAAAGGAACCACGGACAGUGCUCAGGCCCUGAGUCCCAGGACUGGCAACACUAAUACUAGACUCUGGAACUGCUCAUGGUGGGGAUACUGUGUCUCAUUCAUUGUGUGCCAGUGCUUGACACAGGUUUGCAAAUAACAGGCAUUAAGCCACUCACUAAAUGAAUAUACUACAGGAGUGAAGCUGUCAAGUUACUAAGUUCUAAUUGUUAUUUUAAAGGUGAGGUACAGAGGAGUUAUGGUUAAAUAAGGUAAUGAGUACAUUUCCUUUUGGACAAUGUCACCCCUUCCCUCACUGUCUCCUAGUUUUUCCCUCCCGUCCCCACCCAGAAGUUGUAUAGUUCGUUUUCAAAUAAAUUCUAAUAAUGAGCUGCCCAUUUGGUAUGUAGUGCAAAUGACAAACAUAAACUUCUUUCUAGUCCUUACAUCAAUAUGAAUCAGAGAAAGUUCAAACUCAUGAAUUGUACUUGUUUAAUAUCAGGUUGAUUCUGCCCUAAAAACAGUAAUUUGCCAUUGUUUAUAGCAAUACCUGUAUAUACAAAACUGUUAUAUCAACUUUAAAACGUUAUCAUAAUCACCUCUUAACAGGGGGAUAGGGAGGGACAGAUUUAUAGUUUAAGAAACUUGGAGCCAAAUACCAGUGGCUCACACCUGCAAUCCUAUA